AUUCAACAACUGCUGUGGUACCCAACAUGUUGAAGUCACACAGACGUGAAUGCUCCCUGUCUGUGGUAAUCACCAGCAGGAGAGAAGAUGAGACCAGCUCAGGACAUGCAUAUAUUGGAAGUGAGGGGAAACUACAAAAGAGAGAGAGAAAAGACAGACAUUUCCUGGAAGACCACCUGCGGGCCCAGCUCCUGCCUGUUGACUUACUAACUGACUAGUGCUGCUGAAAGCAAGACCUGCUACCAUAAACCACUGAAGUAAACUCUGUUGGCAGCGCUGUCCUUGCUUUUCAAACAAAGGAAAACAUCCUAUGUGAAGAUGAAAGUUGAGUUCAAGCACAAAAUGGGAUAGAAUGGAAUAAUGCGCAAUGCCUGAAGUGUAGAAAGCAAAAGAGACCCUGUCUUUGUAAAAUUCCCUUAACAAAGCUCAUUUCAUGAGUUUUUCUAGGAGGUAGCCUCGUAUAAUAGUUGAGCACACAGACCCUGGGGCCAGAAGGCUCAGGUUUGACCCUUGACUCUGUGGGGUAUUUCUGUGUGACCUUGGGCAGUGGCCCCAUGCAUGAUAAAAUAGGAUAAAAGGAGGAGGAUACAAUGAGUCUGUAUUUGUAAAGGGUGUAGAAUAGAACCAUAGAGGAUAGGCUGUGUAAGUCUAUGUCAAGGACUGAAAAUGUCAGAAUGGACUGAGGAUUUUAAGAGAUUGUUGUCUUCUCCGUGUUGUUUUUUUCUUCAGACUCUAGCCUGAAAGUUAUGUCCUGUUUAGUUUGGAACCCUCAAAUGCAGGUCAUGUCUGUGCAAUGUGUACUUACUGCAUGGCACCUAUUUGCUCUGUAAAUAUUCUCCCUUCAGUUUACCCUGUAGCCUAAGAAAAGUGACUGCUCCACCCCAGAAUACAGCCGUCUAGGAUUUAAGUAGGCAAACAAAUGAAAGGUUCUGUUCUAAUGUCUGUCCUGUAAAAUAAUGACUUCAUUUAGGAACUUUUUCAGAAAUCAUUAUAGCCCCUUGAGAACUAUUUGAUUUGAUUCAAGUUGUCCCUUUAAUAGCAGUAAUUCGUUCCUUGUAAUUUGCCUUGUUGAGGUUAAUUCUUUAAUAAUUCAUGAGAUGAAUUUUUUGAUGCAGACAUAUAUUAACAUGACAACAAAGUGAAACAUGCUUUCCCAUUUAAGUCACAAGAGAGGUUUGAUAUUUGGAAACAAUCCCG
rnacentral:lncRNA from 1 species